ACUGAAAUAAAUAUACAAUAGCAGCUGCUUAGCUUAAAAAUGUUAAUCGGAAGAAGCAAAAGUGGAUAGCGUGGUGCCAGUAAGAUGGUAUCGAUAUGAUCUAGUCUUAAUUAAGUUAGUCGCAGUUAAGUGUUUAAAAAAAGUUUUACCAUAUAUUUUUAGACUAAUUUUUUAAUGUAUUGUGCUUGAAAAACGUUUAUUACAUAUUAAAUUAAAAUAUUUAUUUUCAGACGAAAAAUAAAACAUGUAAACAAUUUCUCUCUAUAUUUACUUGUUCAAGUGCCAGUGAAACGAACGAUAGAAAAAAAGAAGCAUUCAAAAUGUUCGCAAAAUUUUUGGUUUGGAUACAAAAACCAAGUGAAAAUGAUACUAGAAAGACUGUUUACCGUUUAACUCCUGUCCCAAUCUAACCUAGUGGCUUCAAAAAGAAGGGACCGCGCUGGAAACAGGAGUGAUUAAAAGGAUCAGCCCUUUUUGAAUUAAUAGUCAAAGCGGUAACCAGCUAGAAGUCGUAACCUGCUCGUAUGAAAGGAUUUCUCGACGUGAAAUUGUUAAUUUUAUUCAACAACGCCAAGAAACAGAGCUCGCUCAAGAAGCAGAAAAGAAAGAGAAAGAUGAAAAAAUAUUCUGCUGAACAAUACUAUUGUUUUAUUUAUAAAUUAUUCUCCUAUAUUUAAACAUAUAAAAGUUGUAGAAAAUGCUUCCUCUUUUAUA